ensembl:lincRNA
CCCGGGGAGGAGGGCAGCGCCCUGGCCCAGCAGUGUCACUAGCUCAUCUCUCCAGUGCCAGCCAUGACCUGCAAUUACUCCUCUGCUGACCUGUCUCCUGUCUACUUCCUGGCUCCUCCUCCCGACUUGGAAGCCCUGUUCUCUGCUGAACCCACGCCCUGGGCCCAGCACGGUACCGGCGGAGGGUGGAUGGAGGGAGGGGGAAACACCUCACUGGGCCAGGCUGGGGCUGAGCAGUGAUGCAGAUUAAUGAGGUUCAGAGGCUGGAGUGUACACAGGGGCCCAGCUGGCCCCUGGUGCCCACCAGGAUGCUGGGAAGGAGUGGAUGAACCAAAGAGACUGUGUCCAAGUGACAGCCGGUGGAGCAUCUGGUGCCUGGGGGGUGGGGACAGCACCCGCAGACCCCGAGCAGCCCCUCUGUCCCUUUCGGCGCAGCUGCCCUUUUCUAAAAAGGCCCCUGAGCAAAGGCACGGUGCCCACAGGAAGCCAACACCCACGGGACGCGCGACCCUGCCGGGGCCCACCCUGUGCCUGACACUGCGGUCACACACCCGCACCAAGCACGGCGACCACGAGACCGAGAUGGCUCCAUUAACGCCUCUCGGAGUCACUCCCACCCCUCUGUCCACCCAGAAAAGGCUCUGCCCACAGAGAUGCCCCAAGAAUGCUUCACUCAGGUGCAGGAUCCUGCGUGAUUUUCGAGAAGACUUUGGGCAAAGGCUUUCAGACAGGGCUGGUGGGUGUGCGAGGGUCUCUGGCCAGGAGCUGAACCCACCCCGCCCCCUGGCCUGGCAUGUGCACCCGCUCGCAGGGUCUUGACCUGCUGUUGAAGGAGUGAGGGCCCCACCCAGGGUGAAGCCCAGCCUGCUGCUGCCCCAGGGGUGGAGAGGUGGGGGGGGCGGUGAGGUAAAGAUUAUUCUCUUCAUUUCCCAGCUGAGGAGACUGCGGUCACAGGAAGAAAUGAAUUUGCCCAAAGCCCUGUCACCAAAUGGCAAAACUGCCCUGCCCUACCCCUAGCUUCCAGGAAGUCUGCAAGGCUGGCCUGCCCACUCCUUAGGACAGGGGGACAGGAACAGCCCCCAGGCUCUGGGUGACCCAGACAGAAUGCGAGAGAGCCUUAGCCAGGCAGGGUGGCACAUGCCUCUAAUCCCUCAGGGGGCUGCCACUGAGUUUGGGGCCAGCCUGGGCUACACAGUGAGUUCAAGGCGAAUUUGAACUACACGGUGAGAUGCUAUCUCAAAAAAGAAAAAAACAGAAAAAUAAAAGAAAAACCAAAAAUGCUCAUCGUGGUGGUGUACUUCUGUAACCCCAGUACUUGGGAGGCUGAGGCAGAAGGAUAGCUGAAAGUUUGAGGCCAGCCUGGGUAACACAGUGAGCUCAACGGCUGAGGAGACCCUGUCUCAAACAAGACAAACAACAAAAAACCAAAACCAAAACCGAAAGAAUAUCAAAGAGCCAUGUAGGGGCUUAUCCUUUAGCUCAAACUGACCAGCAUUCCCUGAGCACCUACUGUGUGCCAGCCAUCACCUUGUUUGUGGUGGGGGCACCGCCAUAAACAGGACCCCAAGAAUCUCCCACCAAACCUGUCACCCCCAAACUGAGAUCCAUGUGUGCCACUGUGAGCUGACAGCCAGGAAGGGCCUGGCUCCCCACUUCCUCUCCGACACCAGGGAGGCCC